UUAGAGUUUGAUCCUGGCUCAGGAUGAACGCUAGCGGCAGGCUUAACACAUGCAAGUCGAGGGGCAGCGAGAUCAGUGCUUGCACUGAUUGUCGGCGACCGGCGCACGGGUGCGUAACGCGUAUGCAACCUACCCAUUACAGGGGGAUAACACUGAGAAAUCGGUACUAAUACCCCAUAACAUCCAGGGAGGCAUCUUCUUGGGUUGAAAACUCCGGUGGUAAUGGAUGGGCAUGCGUUGUAUUAGUUAGUUGGUGGGGUAACGGCUCACCAAGACAACGAUACAUAGGGGGACUGAGAGGUUAACCCCCCACAUUGGUACUGAGACACGGACCAAACUCCUACGGGAGGCAGCAGUGAGGAAUAUUGGUCAAUGGACGCAAGUCUGAACCAGCCAUGCCGCGUGCAGGAAGACGGCUCUAUGAGUUGUAAACUGCUUUUGUACGAGGGUAAACGCAGAUACGCGUAUCUGUCUGAAAGUAUCGUACGAAUAAGGAUCGGCUAACUCCGUGCCAGCAGCCGCGGUAAUACGGAGGAUUCAAGCGUUAUCCGGAUUUAUUGGGUUUAAAGGGUGCGUAGGCGGUCGGAUAAGUUAGAGGUGAAAUCCCGGGGCUCAACUUCGGAAUUGCCUCUGAUACUGUUCGGCUAGAGAGUAGUUGCGGUAGGCGGAAUGUAUGGUGUAGCGGUGAAAUGCUUAGAGAUCAUACAGAACACCGAUUGCGAAGGCAGCUUACCAAGCUACUUCUGACGUUGAGGCACGAAAGCGUGGGGAGCAAACAGGAUUAGAUACCCUGGUAGUCCACGCAGUAAACGAUGAUAACUCGUUGUCGGCGAUACAGUGUCGGUGACUAAGCGAAAGCGAUAAGUAUCCACCUGGG
rnacentral:rRNA from 1 species